rnacentral:rRNA from 1 species
UAGGGAAUAUUGGACAAUGGGUGAGAGCCUGAUCCAGCCAUGCCGCGUGCAGGAAGAAGGCGUUAUGCGUUGUAAACUGCUUUUUGCCAGGGGAUAAAAAGACCGUGCGCGGUUAAUUGAAGGUACCUGGUGAAUAAGCCACGGCUAACUACGUGCCAGCAGCCGCGGUAAUACGUAGGUGGCAAGCGUUGUCCGGAUUUAUUGGGUUUAAAGGGUGCGUAGGUGGCCCUGUAAGUCAGUGGUGAAAUAUCUCAGCUUAACUGAGAGGGUGCCAUUGAUACUGCAGGGCUUGAGUACAGAUGAGGUAGGCGGAAUUGACGGUGUAGCGGUGAAAUGCAUAGAUAUCGUCAAGAACACCGAUAGCGAAGGCAGCUUACCAAGCUGUAACUGACACUGAGGCACGAAGGUGUGGGGAUCAAACAGGAUUAGAUACCCGCGUAGUCCCUGAGCGGGCUGGCAAGGCGCAU